rnacentral:rRNA from 1 species
UACGGAGGGUGCAAGCGUUACUCGGAAUCACUGGGCGUAAAGAGUGCGUAGGCGGGGUAAUAAGUCAGAUGUGAAAUCCUGUAGCUUAACUACAGAACUGCAUUUGAAACUGUUACUCUGGAGUGUGGGAGAGGUAGGUGGAAUUCUUGGUGUAGGGGUAAAAUCCGUAGAGAUCAAGAGGAAUACUCAUUGCGAAGGCGACCUGCUAGAACAUAACUGACGCUGAUGCGCGAAAGCGUGGGGAG